CCUACGGGAGGCAGCAGUGAGGAAUAUUGGUCAAUGGGCGCGAGCCUGAACCAGCCAAGUAGCGUGAAGGAUGACUGCCCUACGGGUUGUAAACUUCUUUUAUAAAGGAAUAAAGUGAGGCACGUGUGCCUUUUUGUAUGUACUUUAUGAAUAAGGAUCGGCUAACUCCGUGCCAGCAGCCGCGGUAAUACGGAGGUUCCGAGCGUUAUCCGGAUUUAUUGGGUUUAAAGGGAGCGUAGAUGGGUUGUUAAGUCAGUUGUGAAAGUUUGCGGCUCAACCGUGGAAGUGCAGUUGAUACUGGCAGCCUUGAGUACAGUGGAGGUAGGCGGAAUUCGUGGUGUAGCGGUGAAAUGCUUAGAUAUCACGAAGAACUCCGAUUGCGAAGGCAGCUUACUAAACUGCCACUGACGUUGAUGCUCGAAAGUGUGGGUAUCAAACAGGAUUAGAUACCCGUGUAGUC
rnacentral:rRNA from 1 species